rnacentral:tRNA from 1 species
GAUCAUAUGGCUGAAUGGUUAGGCAAUGGACUGCAAAUCUAUUGAUCUCAGUUCGAUUCUGAGUGUGAUCU